AUACGUAGGUGACAAGCGUUAUCCGGAUUUACUGGGCGUAAAGGGCGUGUAGGCGGUCUUGCAAGUCAGAAGUGAAAUUCCUGAGCUCAACUCGGGCGCUGCUUCUGAAACUGCAGGACUUGAGUGCUGGAGGGGAUAGCGGAAUUCCUCGUGGAGCGGUAAAAUGCGCAGAUAUUAGGAAGAACACCGGUGGCGAAGGCGGCUAUCGGGACAGUAACUGACGCUGAGGCGCGAAAGCGUGGGGAGCAAACAGGAUUAGAUACCCGGGUAGUCCACGCCGUAAACGAUGAAUACUAGGUGUAGGGGGUAUCGACUCCCUCUGUGCCGCAGUUAACACAAUAAGUAUUCCGCCUGGGGAGUACGGCCGCAAGGUUGAAACUCAAAUGAAUUGGCGGG
rnacentral:rRNA from 1 species